GAUGAACGCUGGCGGCGUGCCUAAUACAUGCAAGUCGAGCGAACGGACGAGAAGCUUGCUUCUCUGAUGUUAGCGGCGGACGGGUGAGUAACACGUGGAUAACCUACCUAUAAGACUGGGAUAACUUCGGGAAACCGUAGCUAAUACCGGAUAAUAUUUUGAACCGCAUGGUUCAAUAGUGAAAGACGGUCUUGCUGUCACUUAUAGCUGGAUCCGCGCUGCAUUAGCUAGUUGGUAAGGUAACGGCUUACCAAGGCAACGAUGCAUAGCCGACCUGAUAGGGUGGUCGGCCACCCUGGAGCGGAAGCACGGUCCAGGCGCCUACGGGAGGCAGCAGUAGGGAAUCGUACGCAAUGGGCGGAAACCUGACGGAGCAACGCCGCGUGAGUGAUGAAGGUCUUCGGAUCGUAAAACUCUGUUAUUAGGGAAGAACAUAUGUGUAAGUAACUGUGCACAGCUUGACGGUACCUAAUCAGAAAGCAACGGCUAACUACGUG
rnacentral:rRNA from 1 species